AGCUGAACAAGCUGUCAGGAUCCUGGGUGUGCUACCAUCAUUGUUCCCCUCUGCAUCAGCUCCACCGAAGAAACUUGGAGAUGCAAGUGAAGCUCUUGUGCAUGUUCUUGAGGAAAAAGAAGACCCCAGUGCCUACUUGAGGGAACGCCCUCUCUCCUGUCCAGUCCUGAUUGUGAGCCCAUACAACUGCCUCCUGGCUGUGGGAGAUGCGCCGGUAACUACGUUCCCAAAAGACAAGGUCACAGAGGGUGCUUUAUACCUCAUGGCCUACUAUUAUGCUCUACACCUGACAUACCCCAAGUGCACUGCUACACUGCUUUCAAUCAUACAAACUGAGGUUCUUUGCGACACAAUCCAUGACAAAGACCUCACACCAUCUUACAAAAAGAGCCUGGCUGAUUGGAAAGCUUUUGUUGGCAAAUAGAGCAGAUGUUUAGAUUUUGCCUGAUCUCAUCAGGGUACUGCAAUCCAUAAUUGCUAGUUAAGUUUGCUCAACGUUGGUGUAAACUCAUAAUAUUAAGGAACAUUGGCCAGGUGUUCAGGUCCUUUCUGUUUGGCACAAAUCUACAGAAAAUUCACAUUGUUACAUGUAGUUCUACCAUGGCAUUUUCUAUUGUUCUGUUUUGUUUGUUCCAAUAAGUACGCUGUGAAACAAAAAAAUGAGUGCAAAAAUGGCUAUUGUAAGCAGGUGUGUAUAAAAUUCACUUAAAGUAUGAUGUUGCCCUGUUUUUCUGAAUUUAUGCUUGAUCAGCAAAUAUCUUGAUCUAAAAUCAAACUGGAUGAAACUAAACUUUGGCAUGGACAAAGAACUGUUUUUGGGUGGUCAUUAUUCCAUGAUGGUGAAAAAAAAAACAGCUUUUGUAAAAAGUCCUAAUUUUGAGAAAAUUGUGAUUUAGAAAAACAGGUCAUAUUUCUACUUUUCAAAAAAUGUAAGGCAAAAUCCUGUGCAGAGAAGUCCUGUGAAAUUGUUUUAUUUUUAAAAAAAAUUUUAUUUUGAAAAAAAAAACAGUCUUAUCAAAAAACAGCUGUUUUAUUUUUACAAAUGAAUGCACUGUGUUACAACAAACAUCUGUAUCUUAAUUGAUGUAAGUUGUCAAGUUUGCUAAUGUGUUGCAUGCAAAUAAAUUGUUGAUUUCAAUACUA